AGAAUUUUCCAUAACAUCGACUGGUAAAUAAAUACGCCGCGCUUGAACCUGCCUUCAUUCAUAUUUAGACAUACUGAAUUAGGAAACGUGAAGAUACAAGGCCUAGUUUAUUCUUAUGAAUUGUGUUGCAUGUUCCAAUUCCAUGGAGCAGACGACUCCUAAGGACGGAUACAACUGCCCAGCAGCCGAACUUCCUCUCUACUAUGCAGAAUGUGCCAAAUAUCCAGAAAUGAACGUUCCUGAUAAAAUGAAGUACGAGAUCAUCAGAUAUUCUUCUUUCAGUGACUUUAAAAGAAAUUGUCCUAUCUCACUCAUGAAGCUUUCAAGAGCUGGAUUUUACUAUGAUGGAAGCUCAGAUUCUGUGAAAUGUUACCAAUGUAACUACGCUUAUACUGAUAUUCAGUCAAGUGAUGAUCCGAUGGAAAUCCAUUAUAAAAAUUCACCAAAUUGUAAUUUUGUAAAAGGAAAUUACGAUUCAAGCCAUUUAGCAACAAGUGUUGUCAGAGAAGAAAGUCAUAGUCCGGCAGUUCUAAGGAAUACUUAUGGUGGACAGUCGGAUAUCACUGAAUCAUUCAUUAAUCAGAGACAACAUAAUUCCAUUGAAAAUAGUGCAUUAAUACAAAACCAACGAAAUGGUCAAGGGUCUAUUGAGGAAAAUAACAGACCUUCUUCCUCAAGCAUUAACUCAACAACACAGGCGUCUGGUCAAAAUGUGUGUAAAGGUCGACCGAAAAUAACAAGGAAGGCAAUAUUUGAGGACCUUGGAAUAUGCAUUGAAAAACCUAAGCACCCAAAGUAUGCAAUACUAACCAACAGGUUGACUUCCUUCAAUUCAUGGCCAAAACCAGGCAUUGUCAGCGGAGAGAAAUUGUCCAAAGCUGGAUUUUUCUACGAUGGUUCAAAAGAUCAAGUUCAUUGCUUUUUCUGUGGUGGAGGAUUUAAGGAUUGGGAAGAAGACGUAGAUCCUUGGAUUGAGCAUGCGCGCUGGUUCCCUAGCUGCUCAUUUGUUAAACAGUGCAAAGGAGGCAAAUUUAUUCAAAAAGUCCAAGCGAAGGACCAAGGGAGAGUGACACUAAAGGAGGAACAUUAUAAUUCUGCAGCAUUUCAAAGUGUCAUGGAGAUGGGAUUCUCAAAAGAAGAAAUCAGAAAGGUUUUUGAAAAAAGUCUUUAUAAAGGAAGCUGUAUUUCUGCUGAUCAGCUGCUUGAAUUGUUGUGGGGGACAAGCAAUAUAAACAAUAAGCAUUAUGAAAAAGACUCGAAUCCAGAAAGUGACCAAAACAAGGAAAGGGAAGACAUCGAAACAAGAGAAAAAUUCGACUACUGUAACCAGCAGGAAACCCUUUUCUGUAGGUUACGAAGCUCUAGUUUUAGAACACCAGAUGCUAUUAGAACAGUCAUUAUGCAAAGUCUGCAAAGAUGAUAAUGCAACCACCGUGUUUUUGCCUUGUGGUCAUAUGUGUACGUGCGUGGACUGUGCACCAGCCAUGGUAAAGUGUCCAAUAUGUCAGACAUUCGUGAAAGGAACUGUGAAAGCCAUUUUAAGUUAAAUGUUUGAACUGUAAAUUUCAUAUGUGCCAAACUUUUAAUGUAUACAUUGUCAUGUAUUUACCAAUUGAAAAGAUGCAAUUGUAAGACAGCAAGUAUUUUAACCUGGCAAAUUUUGAAAGAUUGUAAAGAAUGUUUUAUAUUUUUCAAAUAGAUUUGAUUUUUACGAAAGGACUUGCAAAAAAUACACUUUCAAUGUUUAUUUAUUGUAUUUAUUGUUUUAUGUUAAUUGCGAUAUGUUGUUGAAUUUACAAUAAAUUAAAAUAUGGAAAAAAUG
rnacentral:misc_RNA from 1 species